GGCACAUGGAUGUACGAAUGCCAUCAAAGGCCAGUCACGAUUAUACUGGUCACUCUGGGAAGGAUCCAAAAUAAGUAACUAUGAAACAAGAUGAUUAUAUCACAUGGAUAACUGAGAACUGAGUUGAAGCAGUUGGAGUGUAUAAUUCUUCAGAGAGGAUACGUACAUACCCAGCCUAACUCCAUUUUGCAGGAUCUUCUUUCAAGGUCUUCGUCUGGUGGCAAGUGCAUAGCAACACGACACUGGCCGAAGUCACUGCAGCCAUAAUGGGAUUUUCCAUCAGAACACAGAGCGAGAAGCUGGCUACGAGCACCACCACAAUCAUGGCUUAGAUCUCUUUAUCGUCAGAAGAACUUCUAUUAAAAUGAAUAGAGGCUGGACUUGAAUGAUCAGAUGAAGAGAAGAGGAAAUUCAAAGAUUAUGAAGUUGAUGGAGAAACUGUCAACGCUGGUCUCAUGGAUCACAUGAUAGCAGAGCUUUUUGAGAAGUCUGUUAAGAAGAUGUUUUCAACGUAGAUACGUUGUGGAAACUGUU
ensembl:lncRNA